rnacentral:rRNA from 1 species
UACGAAGGGGGCUAGCGUUGCUCGGAAUCACUGGGCGUAAAGGGUGCGUAGGUGGCGCGGUAAGUCGGGUGUGAAAUUUCGGAGCUUAACUCCGAAACUGCAUUCGAUACUGCCGUGCUUGAGGACUGGAGAGGAGACUGGAAUUUACGGUGUAGCAGUGAAAUGCGUAGAGAUCGUAAGGAAGACCAGUGGCGAAGGCGGGUCUCUGGACAGUUCCUGACACUGAGGCACGAAGGCCAGGGGAGCAAACGGG